UGGGGAAUAUUGCACAAUGGGCGGAAGCCUGAUGCAGCGACGCCGCGUGGGGGAUGAAGGCCUUCGGGUUGUAAACUCCCUUCGACAGGGACGAAGCUUUUGUGACGGUACCUGUAUAAGAAGCACCGGCUAACUACGUGCCAGCAGCCGCGGUAAUACGUAGGGUGCGAGCGUUGUCCGGAAUUACUGGGCGUAAAGAGCUCGUAGGUGGUUUGUCGCGUCGUCUGUGAAAUUCCGGGGCUUAACUCCGGGCGUGCAGGCGAUACGGGCUGACUUGAGUGCUGUAGGGGAGACUGGAAUUCCUGGUGUAGCGGUGAAAUGCGCAGAUAUCAGGAGGAACACCGAUGGCGAAGGCAGGUCUCUGGGCAGUAACUGACGCUGAGGAGCGAAAGCAUGGGUAGCGAACAGG
rnacentral:rRNA from 1 species